CUCAGGUUGUUGUAAGGGGCAGCUUCCUUUUAGCAUAACACGUAACACCUAGAACUAUUUCCCUUGGACCAGCUGAGCAAAUAGGGAAGCUGCUUGCAGCUGGUCACAGAGGUCACCAAGAAAAUUUUGCACCUGGAGAUUUUGUAUCAGCAAGAAGUGGAUAGAAAAGGAGAGGGUCGCUGGGAGGAAGUUGCCAGGUUCUCAAGUUACCCAGAAGACACAGUGGCCAUUUACAAGGAGAGGCAUUGGAAGUCCACACAGGGGCCCAGAGAAGCAAAAGACAGGACUUUCCCAAUAUCACAUCAACUGACUUCAGUCUUUCUAUUCCUUGCUGCAAGAUACUUCUACUAGAGAACAGAAGAAGUCAAUAUCUAAAGAAUGUCCAAAAAUAAAAAUUCUUCUUUUAAAAUGAGGUCUCGGUACCUCUUCAGGGAAGCCGUCCCUUCACAGUUCACAGUUCACAGUUAGGCCUUAUUGAUCUAAAAAGAACUGAGCUCUUCCUGAGUUUAUGGAUUUAUUAUAUUUCUAUGUUGCCUGCACUAGAAUGUAAACUCCAAGAGGACAGGGCUUUGUCUGUUCUGUUCACUGGUGUGCCCCGAGUACCCACCACAGUGCUUGGCCCCCAUGUGAUGGUCAGAAUGAAUAAAUGAAUGAAUGAAAUGAAAUCUGGCUGUCACCACAGGGACUCAGGACUAACAAUAGAAGGAACAAAAAUAAGAUCUGAAAAAGCUAUAUGUUUAUUACAAUAAAAAUAAUGUACUAAAUGGGCAUUUUGAGAAACUUCAUUUUGUUUCUUUUUGUCCUGGUAAUGAGGGCUAAGAAGAUCCCAGAUAUUACCAUCUCCCUGGUGUCCCCAAACCUUUACUUAUUAAGGUCAGACACCUGCCAUUUA
rnacentral:lncRNA from 10 species